UACGUAGGUGGCAAGCGUUGUCCGGAAUCAUUGGGCGUAAAGAGCGUGUAGGCGGCUUGCUAAGUCUUGCGUGAAAUCUCGGGGCUCAACCCCGAGCGGUCGUGGGAAACUGGCAGGCUAGAGUGCGGGAGAGGAGAAUGGAAUUCCUGGUGUAGCGGUGAAAUGCGCAGAUAUCAGGAAGAACACCCGUGGCGAAGGCGGUUCUCUGGAACGCAACUGACGCUGAGACGCGAAAGCGUGGGGAGCAAACAGG
rnacentral:rRNA from 1 species